AGACAAGUAAGCUAAACUCAAGCUUACGGGCUCAUACCCCGUUUAUAGGGGAAAUCCUCUCUUUUCUA
rnacentral:tRNA from 1 species